AUAGCGGCACUUUUAAUUCUGACGCCGAAAUUUACCAUCUGUAAAAAAAUAUUCUUAUUAAUUAAAUUUAUUACUAUUUAUGUAGUUAUAUAUAUUUAUAAAUAUAUUUUAUUAUACGAAGAUAAGAAAAAACAAUUUCAAAUGGCUCCAGGAAUCGCAAUCUAAGCGUAGCACAGAAACUAGCGUAGAGGAUGGAAUGAGUGUGGAAACAGACACUGCAAGCGCUACCUUCGAGAAUCCCUCGCAUGGACUGACGACUCGACACGUUUUCCAGCGUUGCGGAAAAAUUAUUUCCAUACGUUUAAGAAAUUUUAUGUGCCACUCGAAUUUAACCAUAAACUUUCACCACAUAUCAAUUUUCUUGUUGGCAGCAAUGGUAGCGGCCCUUGCAUUAGGGCUAGCCGGCAAUGCACGCAACACAAGUCGCGCCAAGUACGACGUUUAUGGUCCACACAUUACGGUCGUACGCCAAAUAUGCUCAGAACAGAUGCGUUUCCAAGAAACUGGACAAAAUACGACGCCUGUUGCUUUAAUUUGGCAUAAGUGUUGAGAAUCCGAUCUUUGUGCUCAAGCUUCGUGCGAAUUUCUCAAAGAGUAGCCUGGAGCCGGCAUCAAACUAUAAAUUGCUUAUGAUGGCGGCACAGCUGGAUUUAUGCGCGGCCAGCUUGACUCAGUGCCACGAGCAGCGCGAGCAUAUUAAUUACGACCUGGAGCUGCUAAAAAAAAAAAAAGGAAAAGUUGAAAAAACUGUGCCACGAAGAAGAGGAAAAGUUGGCAUUAAUUA